rnacentral:rRNA from 1 species
AUUGAACGCUGGCGGCAGGCUUAACACAUGCAAGUCGAGCGGGGUGAUGGUGCUUGCACUAUCACUUAGCGGCGGACGGGUGAGUAAUGCUUAGGAAUCUGCCUAUUAGUGGGGGACAACAUCUCGAAAGGGAUGCUAAUACCGCAUACGUCCUACGGGAGAAAGCAGGGGAUCACUUGUGACUUUGCGCUAAUAGAUGAGCCUAAGUAGGAUUAGCUAGUUGGUGGGGUAAAGGCCUACCAAGGCGACGAUCUGUAGCGGGUCUGAGAGGAUGAUCCGCCACACUGGGACUGAGACACGGCCCAGACUCCUACGGGAGGCAGCAGUGGGGAAUCUUGGACAAUGGGGGCAACCCUGAUCCAGCGAUGCCGCGUGGGUGAAGAAGGCCUUCGGGUUGUAAAGCCCUUUAGGUUGGGAAGAAGUGCAUAAGUUUAAGAGAUGUAUGCAUUGACGGUACCGACAGAAUAAGCACCGGCAAACUCUGUGCCAGCAGCCGCCGUAA